rnacentral:tRNA from 1 species
GUGGGUGUAGCUCAACUUGGCGGAGCAUGGGAUUGUGGCUCCCAAGGUUGCGGGUUCGAGUCCCGUCACCCACCCCA